rnacentral:rRNA from 1 species
CCGCGUGUGUGAAGAAGGCCUUCGGGUUGUAAAGCACUUUCAGUCGUGAGGAAGGUAGUGUAGUUAAUAGCUGCAUUAUUUGACGUUUAGCGACAGAAGAAGCACCGGCUAACUCCGUGCCAGCAGCCGCGGUAAUACGGAGGGUGCGAGCGUUAAUCGGAAUUACUGGGCGUAAAGCGCAUGCAGGUGGUUUGUUAAGUCAGAUGUGAAAGCCCGGGGCUCAACCUCGGAAUUGCAUUUGAAACUGGCAGACUAGAGUACUGUAGAGGGGGUAGAAUUUCAGGUGUAGCGGUGAAAUGCGUAGAGAUCUGAAGGAAUACCGGUGGCGAAGGCGGCCCCCUGGACAGAUACUGACACUCAGAUGCGAAAGCGUGGGGAGCAAACAGGAUUAGAUACCCUGGUAG